GUCUUUGGCCUCUGGUUCUGCGAGCCGAUUGUGUUUUCGUACCGUCGUAGGUUUUCUUUCUCUUUUCUUUUUCUCUUAACGUUUGUCUUUCUCCCUCCCUCGUCCUCUGCUCUCUCUUCCUUCGCACUUUUAUUAUUACUUGACAAUUUACUGCCUAUGUACGAGUCCUUCGUUCUCCCAACCCCGUCCCAUUUUCGUGGCCUUGAUUUGAUUCUUGUGGGUGUGUUUGCUUGUUGUGAUCCGCUGAGUGUAAUUCUGAUUUCUUGUAUGUGCGUAGAUUUAAAAAGCUAUUUUCUUUUUCUUCUUUAAAAAAAAAAAAAGAUUUGUUUUAUUUAUUUUAUGUGAGUCCAAUGUCGCUGUCUCCAGACACACCAGAAGAGGGCAUCAAAUCCCAUUACAGAUGGUUGUGAGCCACCAUAUGGUUGGGGGGAUUUGAACUCAGGACCUCUGGAAGAGCAGUCAGUGCUCUUAACCGCUGAGCCAUCUCUCCAGCCCUAGCUAUUUUCUUUUUAAGAAUUUCUUUCCAAAAUAUGAUCUCAGCUAGGCAUAGUGGCCCAUGACUUUAUUCACCGCCCUAAGGAAACAGAGGCAGGUCUCUCUGAGUCAGAGGUCAGCCUUGUUUACAUGAGUUCCGGGACAGGCAGGGCUACAUAGCUAGACCUUUUCUAAAACAAAACAAAACAAAUGAGCAAACAAAAUUAAAGUCCCACCAAAUUAUACCAGGCUGGCCUUGGGCUUUUGAACCUCCUGUCUCAGCCUAACUUUGGUUGGGAUGGCAGGCACACCUAACACAGGAACUGGAAUUUUCGAGCACUUUUGACAGAAUAUGAAGGCUGUCUUGGGUCGGUGCAGGAGAACUGCUGGACUGUGCCGAGCCUUUGCAUGUCCUGGCGGGAACUCAGCAGUAACCCUUGACCACCCAGCAGGUACCUAGACAGGGACACCUGUGUCUUCCUGGCAGACACACCACUGGGCCCUGUCCCAACAGUCCCAGCAUGUUCCACUGCAGGGGUCACAGUAUGUCCCCCUGUGAGUCAGGUUCUGCUGACCGCAUGCCCCUACUCCUGCCAUCUCUGUGCACAGCUUUAACGUCCUCCCUGUGGGGAGCAGUGACUAGUGUUUUAUCCCUGAGGAUAAAAAGGCUGUUUUGAUAAUGGGCAGGCUUGGCUUGAGAGGAGCUGCUGCUAAACAUAGCACUGAGAAGGUUCCUGGAGGGGAGGGGGGUGCUGCUUUGUCUGAGUGCCCCCCAGGUCCUCCGAGAACUAUUCUUGACGCCUCUGAAAAACAGGUUCCCUUUGAGGAAAAAAAUGUCUGAUCUCUAAGCAUUAGCCUCAAAGCUCCCCUCUCCUGUUUGCUUUGCUUCCUACCCCAGCUUCUCAUUUCUUUUUCCUUUUAGAAAAAAAAAAAAAAGAAAAGAAAGAAAACAACUACCUUUCUGAAUGUAUUGUAUCCAAGGCCUUUGCAAUGUUGGGAGCAGAGUGAGCAGGUGUGGGGAGUCCUGAAAGACUGGUUACAUUACGGAGGUCAUCUGGCAUCCAGAGAAAGCUACUGCUUCAUCAAGCAGUUCUCCACCCUGCUGUAAUUAAAUACCUUGAAUUUUCUUUCUUUCCCCCAUGUAAAUGAAGGACUUCGUGGUCUUCUCU
ensembl:antisense 0610040B10Rik RIKEN cDNA 0610040B10 gene